rnacentral:rRNA from 1 species
CAGUAGCCACGGUAAUACGAGGGGGGCAAGCGUUGUUCGGAAUUAUUGGGCGUAAAGGGUGCGUAGGCGGCUUGACAAGUCUUGUGUGAAAUCUAUGGGCUCAACCCAUAGUCUGCACGGGAAACUGUCGGGCUUGAGAAUGGGAGAGGUGAGUGGAAUUUCCGGUGUAGCGGUGAAAUGCGUAGAUAUCGGAAGGAACACCUGUGGCGAAAGCGGCUCACUGGACCAUUUCUGACGCUGAUGCACGAAAGCUAGGGGAGCAAACAGGAUUAGAUACCCGCGUAGUCCCUGUCUCUUAUAC